rnacentral:rRNA from 1 species
AUGAACGCUGGCGGCGUGCCUAAUACAUGCAAGUCGAGCGAACAGAUAAGGAGCUUGCUCCUUUGACGUUAGCGGCGGACGAGUGAGUAACACGUGGGUAACCUACCUAUAAGACUGGAAUAACUCCGGGAAACCGGGGCUAAUGCCGGAUAACAUUUAGAACCGCAUGGUUCUAAAGUGAAAGAUGGUUUUGCUAUCACUUAUAGAUGGACCCGCGCCGUAUUAGCUAGUUGGUAAGGUAACGGCUUACCAAGGCAACGAUACGUAGCCGACCUGAGAGGGUGAUCGGCCACACUGGAACUGAGACACGGUCCAGACUCCUACGGGAGGCAGCAGUAGGGAAUCUUCCGCAAUGGGCGAAAGCCUGACGGAGCAACGCCGCGUGAGUGAUGAAGGUCUUCGGAUCGUAAAACUCUGUUAUUAGGGAAGAACAAAUGUGUAAGUAACUGUGCACGUCUUGACGGUACCUAAUCAGAAAGCCACGGCUAACUACGUG